UACGAAGGGGGCUAGCGUUGUUCGGAAUUACUGGGCGUAAAGCGCGCGCAGGCGGCUAUCCAAGUCAGUGGUGAAAGCCCGGAGCUCAACUCCGGAACUGCCAUUGAAACUGUUUAGCUUGAGGAUGAGAGAGGUGAGUGGAAUUCCCAGUGUAGAGGUGAAAUUCGUAGAUAUUGGGAAGAACACCGGUGGCGAAGGCGGCGAUCUGGGUCGAUACUGACGCUGAGGUGCGAAAGCGUGGGGAGCAAACAGG
rnacentral:rRNA from 1 species